rnacentral:rRNA from 1 species
GACGAACGCUGGCGGCGUGCUUAACACAUGCAAGUCGAACGGGAAGGCCCUGCUUUUGUGGGGUGCUCGAGUGGCGAACGGGUGAGUAACACGUGAGUAACCUGCCCUUGACUUUGGGAUAACUUCAGGAAACUGGGGCUAAUACCGGAUAGGAGCUCCUGCUGCAUGGUGGGGGUUGGAAAGUUUCGGCGGUUAGGGAUGGACUCGCGGCUUAUCAGCUUGUUGGUGGGGUAGUGGCUUACCAAGGCUUUGACGGGUAGCCGGCCUGAGAGGGUGACCGGCCACAUUGGGACUGAGAUACGGCCCAGACUCCUACGGGAGGCAGCAGUGGGGAAUAUUGCACAAUGGGCGGAAGCCUGAUGCAGCAACGCCGCGUGCGGGAUGACGGCCUUCGGGUUGUAAACCGCUUUCGCCUGUGACGAAGCGUGAGUGACGGUAAUGGGUAAAGAAGCACCGGCUAACUACGUG